ACUACGUCCCGUGAUGUAAACGCUGAGGGUGGUGCAUACACACUUGUAAACUACAAUCAUAAUCAAAACUAUACUAAAAGCAACUAAUGAAGACCUCUUACUGUAUCCACCUCAGACAGGAAAUUCGACCAAUAGAGAUGAAGCAUUCUUCCACGUCAUUUAGUAAUGGCUUUGGGUUGGGCUUUUGUUUAGACAGGCUUGCUUUCCGUUGUGCUUAGUUUGUUUAGAAGCCAUCGUCAUCUUCGCUACCACUUCGUCUUCUUCCCUCCGAUCCCGUAGAAACCGAUCCCCCUCUACACAAUCAAUCCCAUCCUUUACUUUGAUCAAUCAAUUUCGUCUUGAUGAUUUUGUUUCAGCUCCCUCUGUUCCUCCUUCUUUAUAUACUGAUCCUCUUUUCUUUGUACAAACCCAAACCCUGUUUAUAUGAUCAUUUUUCACUGAUUUAAAUCUCAGCUUUUUGCCGGCAAAUGUUCUGUCGCCUUCCAUUUCAACGACGUCUCACCAGGACCUGCCGAGUCAGAGCUUCGAUUUUGGCUAAUCCAGUUGUGGGAUGGAUCCUUAGAACCAGGGGAGGGGGGGGUCUAGGUUCCUGCUUUGAAAGAAUCGGUAUCUCUUUUGAUAUAUUUUUUGUUUUUUCAUUUACGAUUCUUAGGGCUUCUGUGACGGCCAGCGAUGGGAAAACAGAGAAAGAUGUUUCUGUAAAAUGUUUUAAUAUAAAAUAUUAUAUUAUUAAUUUUAAAUUACACUUCCGUUCUCAGGGAAGAGGUUUAUUCCAGGUUUCACGUAUUCUAGAUUGUUAAGAGUUCUGGUGUUUUCUUCAAAUAUGCUGCAUCCGGUUAAGCUCAUGAUCUGAAUGAUACCCAGUUUACUAAACUGGAUGAGCUCUUCACUCAGACCCAACUCUACUCUGAAUUUCUUCUUGAGAAAAUGGAGGAUAUCACAAAAAAUGGGACAGAAGGUGAGACCCAAAAAGCUGAGCCCGAGAAGAAAGGAGGUCGUGGACGCAAAAGAAAGGCUGCUACUCAGAUAAGCCAGUGUAAGUACAAUAUAUAAACUUCAUCUACUCAUGGUUGAUAUAUUUUGUUGUUCAACUUGCUUGGAUGUUGGAUGCUUUAUUCUUCAUUCAGAGGAAGGCUAAGAAAGUUGUUGCUGCUAUGCUUUAUAGCAUCGACUGUAGAAUGAAGAUCUAGAUAGUAGAUACCUAGAUGAAAUGAUUUAACAUAGAACAAUUUUUUUGAAUCUGUUACUCUUUGAUUUAAGCUUGCUUUGGCUGCCAGGUGCUGUAGAGAUGAGAUGGGUUGAUACAUAUUUUCCAUUUACUGAGCUUUCGAGCUUGAGAUAUAUUUUUAAGGAAGACUGGUGAGAAGUUUCGGGCUGUGGGGUGACAGAACAAAGAAUUUUGAAGCAGAGUGGAUUAGAAAAUAAUGUUGCUUGGGACUUUGGACUUGGACUUAAUAGAAAGACUC